rnacentral:rRNA from 1 species
UACAGAGGGUGCGAGCGUUAAUCGGAAUUACUGGGCGUAAAGCGUGCGUAGACGGUAGCGUAAGUCAGAUGUGAAAGCCCCGGGCUCAACCUGGGAAUUGCAUUUGAGACUGCUCUGCUCGGGUGCGGAAGAGGGAAGCGGAAUUUCCGGUGUAGCGGUGAAAUGCGUAGAUAUCGGGAGGAACACCUGUGGCGAAAGCGGCUCACUGGACCACAACUGACGCUGAGGCGCGAAAGCUAGGGGAGCAAACAGG